GGCCUCCAGAACAUAAGGGCGAAGAUGUCCUCCUCCACGGGACUCCUCGCUAUGGCCUCAGGCC